rnacentral:rRNA from 1 species
ACGCUGGCGGCGUGCUUAACACAUGCAAGUCGAACGGAAAGGCCCUGCUUUUGUGGGGUGCUCGAGUGGCGAACGGGUGAGUAACACGUGAGUAACCUGCCCUUGACUUUGGGAUAACUUCAGGAAACUGGGGCUAAUACCGGAUAGGAGCUCCUGCUGCAUGGUGGGGGUUGGAAAGUUUCGGCGGUUGGGGAUGGACUCGCGGCUUAUCAGCUUGUUGGUGGGGUAGUGGCUUACCAAGGCUUUGACGGGUAGCCGGCCUGAGAGGGUGACCGGCCACAUUGGGACUGAGAUACGGCCCAGACUCCUACGGGAGGCAGCAGUGGGGAAUAUUGCACAAUGGGCGGAAGCCUGAUGCAGCAACGCCGCGUGCGGGAUGACGGCCUUCGGGUUGUAAACCGCUUUCGCCUGUGACGAAGCGUGAGUGACGGUAAUGGGUAAAGAAGCACCGGCUAACUACGUGCCAGCAGCCGCGGUGAUACGUAGGGUGCGAGCGUUGUCCGGAUUUAUUGGGCGUAAAGGGCUCGUAGGUGGUUGAUCGCGUCGGAAGUGUAAUCUUGGGGCUUAACCCUGAGCGUGCUUUCGAUACGGGUUGACUUGAGGAAGGUAGGGGAGAAUGGAAUUCCUGGUGGAGCGGUGGAAUGCGCAGAUAUCAGGAGGAACACCAGUGGCGAAGGCGGUUCUCUGGGCCUUUCCUGACGCUGAGGAGCGAAAGCGUGGGGAGCGAACAGGCUUAGAUACCCUGGUAGUCCACGCUGUAAACGGUGGGUACUAGGUGUGGGGUCCAUUCCACGGGUUCCGUGCCGUAGCUAACGCUUUAAGUACCCCGCCUGGGGAGUACGGCCGCAAGGCUAAAACUCAAAGGAAUUGACGGGGCCCCGCACAAGCGGCGGAGCAUGCGGAUUAAUUCGAUGCAACGCGUAGAACCUUACCUGGGUUUGACAUGGAUCGGGAGUGCUCAGAGAUGGGUGUGCCUCUUUUGGGGUCGGUUCACAGGUGGUGCAUGGCUGUCGUCAGCUCGUGUCGUGAGAUGUUGGGUUGAGUCCCGCAACGAGCGCAACCCUUGUUCACUGUUGCCAGCACGUUAUGGUGGGGACUCAGUGGAGACCGCCGGGGUCAACUCGGAGGAAGGUGGGGAUGACGUCAAGUCAUCAUGCCCCUUAUGUCCAGGGCUUCACGCAUGCUACAAUGGCUGGUACAGAGAGUGGCGAGCCUGUGAGGGUGAGCGAAUCUCGGAAAGCCGGUCUCAGUUCGGAUUGGGGUCUGCAACUCGACCUCAUGAAGUCGGAGUCGCUAGUAAUCGCAGAUCAGCAACGCUGCGGUGAAUACGUUCCCGGGGCUUGUACACACCGCCCGUCAAGUCAUGAAAGUUGGUAACACCCGAAGCCGGUGGCCUAACCGUUGUGGGGGAGCCGUCGAAGGUGGGACUGGU